GCUAAAGUCCUACAUAGAGACAUUAAAGCCAGCAAUGUAUUACUUGAUAAGGAAAUGAAUGGAAGAUUAGGUGAUUUUGGCCUGGCUCGGAUGCACAGCCAUGGUCAGGUGGCUAGCACCACGCGGGUGGUUGGAACGNNNGGGUACUUGGCGCCUGAGGUGGUUCGCAGUGGUCGAGCAUCAGCUCAAACAGAUGUGUUCGGUUUUGGGGUAUUAAUUUUGGAAGUGAUGUGUGGAAGAAGGCCUAUAGAAGAAGGGAAGCCGCCACUUGUAGAAUUGGUAUGGAAGUCAAUGAUGCAAGGGCAAUUACUGAGUGUCUUUGAUCCAAGGCUAAAGGCUAGAGGAGAGUUCGAUGAGGAAGAAGUGGAGAGAGUACUUCAUUUAGGUUUGUUGUGCGCGUAUCCUGAGCCUAGUUCUAGGCCAACAAUGAGGCAAGCCGUGAAGAUUUUGGAGGGCAAGAACGAGCCUAAUGAGCCUGACAGUGAAGAUAUGGAUGCAUAUCUGCUCCAACAUAUCAAUUCUAAAGAUAUGUGGUUGAAUUAUUCUGAGAGUUCAUGCUAUUCAUCUCACCCAACAUUUGAAGAUAUUAGAAAAUCCCAAUCAUCUUCC
rnacentral:misc_RNA from 1 species